rfam:Amazona aestiva scaffold_1371, whole genome shotgun sequence.
CCAAAGGCUCUUUUCAGAGCCACCUACAUGUUCAGAAAAGAGUUG